ensembl:lncRNA
GAAGGAGACAACAGAUCUGGGGUCAGGCUAUAGAAGGAGAAAACAGAUCUGGGGUCAGGCUAUAGAAGGAGACAACAGAUCUGGGGUCAGGCUAUAGAAGGAGACAACAGAUCUGGGGUCAGGCUAUAUAAGAAGACAACAGAUCUGGGGUCAGGCUAUAGAAGGAGACAACAGAUCUGGGGUCAGGCUAUAGAAAGGAGACAACAGAUCUGGGGUCAGGCUAUAGAAGGAGACAACAGAUCUGGGGUCAGGCUAUAGAAGGAGACAACAGAUCUGGGGUCAGGCUAUAGAAGGAGACAACAGAUCUGGGGUCAGGCUAUAGAAGGAGACAACAGAUCUGGGGUCAGGCUAUAGAAGGAGACAACAGAUCUGGGGUCAGGCUAUAGAAAGAGACAACAGAUCUGGGGUCAGGCUAUAGAAGGAGACAACAGAUCUGGGGUCAGGCUAUAGAAGGAGACAACAGAUCUGGGGUCAGGCUAUAUAAGGAGACAACAGAUCUGGGGUCAGGCUAUAGAAGGAGACAACAGAUCUGCCACUAUAUAGGGAAUAGGGCUCUGGUCUAUAGUAGUACCACUAUAUAGUGAAUAGGGCUCUGGUCUAUGGUAGUGUAAUAUAUAGGGAAUA